GCCAGUGUGGUUUAGUGGUUUGAGCAUUGGACUGUGACUCUGGAGACCAUAGUUUGAAUCCCUGCUCAGCCA